GGCGCUGCCUGCGCCGCACCGGUCGGCUCGAGCUGUGCGCCGACGCGUGAGAGGGUGCCAGCCAGGCGCCGGUCAGAGCGGCGCCGCUGCAGCGGCAUCUGCUGUCCCCCGGCGGAGGGUUUGUCAUCAUGACGUGCUCAGCACGAUUGAGACGCCGGGCCGUACCCCGGCCGGAGGUCAACCCGAGCUAAGCCCGCUGGCGUCUGCUGGGGCCACUGGAGCGGAACUGCUCCAGUGGCGUCUCCGGAGGGAGCCGCACCUGGAGAGCAAGCACGUAACGCAAGCCGGCUCAAAGCGGGAAGAUGGGGCCGGUCACAGAAGUCAAGUGCAAUACGUAAUUGAGCAAUAAACAGUUGCGCAUCAUCUUCGAAUAUAUCACA
rnacentral:lncRNA from 1 species